rnacentral:rRNA from 1 species
CGGCGAACGGGAGAGUAACGCGUGGGUAACCUACCCAGAAGUGGGGGAUAGCCUCGGGAAACCGGGGGUAAUACCGCAUGUACUGCAGUCGACACAAGUCGAUUGCCGAAAAGGCGGGGAUCCUUCGGGACCUGUCGCUUCUGGAUGGGCCCGCGUCCGAUUAGCUAGUUGGUGGGGUAAUGGCCCACCAAGGCUUCGAUCGGUAGCCGGCCUGAGAGGGUGAACGGCCUCAUUGGGACUGAGACACGGCCCAG